rnacentral:lncRNA from 1 species
AUGAACCUCAGGAGAAGAGCAAAUUUGUUUCUUUAAAGUCUAGAUCAGAAAAAAGAAACCCAGAAAGGAACAAAGCCUUUCAAGCUGAGGAGGAAGAAGUCGAUGACUCUGAGAAUGAAGAUUCUAAUGAUGAAUAAGAAUUAUCUCUUCUUUCCAGAAGAAUCAAACAACUCUGAAUAAAAAUACAAAGCAACUUCAGAAGGCCCAGACAGAAGGGAGAUCGUUC